GGCUCAAUGGUCUAGUGGUAGGAUACUCGCUUCGGGCAUUAUAUCCCAUCUCGUAGAAUGAGAUAAUGUGAGUGGUCCCGGGUUCAAAUCCCGGUUGAGCCC